rnacentral:rRNA from 1 species
UUAGGAAUCUUGCGCAAUGGGGGAAACCCUGACGCAGCGACGCCGCGUGGGUGAAGAAGGCCUUCGGGUCGUAAAGCCCUUUUCCGAGGGACGAUAAUGACGGUACCUCGGGAAUAAGCCCCGGCUAACUACGUGCCAGCAGCCGCGGUAAUACGUAGGGGGCAAGCGUUGUCCGGAUUUACUGGGCGUAAAGAGCGCGCAGGCGGCUUCGUAAGUUGGCUGUGAAAUCUCCGGGCUCAACUCGGAGGGGUCAGUCGAAACUGCGGGGCUACGAGGGCGGUAGGGGGAGAUGGAAUUCCCGGUGUAGUGGUGAAAUGCGUAGAUAUCGGGAGGAACACCGAUGGCGAAAGCGAUCUCCUGGGCCGUACCUGACGCUGAGGCGCGAAAGCGUGGGGAGCGAACUGA